UGGAGCUUGUAUCCGCACUACCCGCUCUCCCGGCUGUGACGAUCUCCACCAGCUUGUGAGUGAUUCACUGACAAAUGUACUUUCCCCAGUGAGGGGUAGUAUCAGUGGGGGUGGAGUGGAUUUGGCUGUGGGGGGUUUGUUGAGGGGAAUGUUUUCAGGAAUUUGAUAUUAAUUCAUAGUGAAAUCUCUGCUGGCAGAGCCGGUGUCUGAGCCGACGGUGGAGAUCAGCAGGAAUGCCUCCCACGUCACGCUGAACUGCUCGGCUCUCGGAACCGGACAGGUCACCUAUCGGUGGGAGAGGCAGACAGACGCUGCCGGUGGGAACGUCACCUUCCAUGGAGCCCUGCUGAUCCUGCAGAAUGAUGGGCUGAGUGGCCACACCUACAACUGCAUUGCUGAAAAUUGCUGCAGUCGGCAGAUCAGCCUCCCAGUCUCUGCAGACCUCAACCCAGCCAGCGAGUCCAGAAAUUAUUGGGCAAGUGUUCUCAGCUUUAUAGUCCUCUCAGUGGUUGUGAUGUUAAUCUUGGGUCAGCAUCUGCUCAGGAAAUCGGUACUGAUUGGUCAAGCGCAUCCAGAAACCGAGGGCCAGGAGAGUUCCAGUGAGGAUGAUGGUUCGGACUGUCCUCUCCGGAAGUCCCGAGGUUCCUCUGACCCUGUGUGACCUGGAACCGGGACGGUACUGAACAUGUCCCUCCCACCAGCUGCUGUCUCCACCGUGACCUCCACCCACCCAGCCCCUGAGCACAGGACGUCUGCACCUCACACUGUGGG